GUGUUGCCCUCAUGACCAGCUGCUGCUGCUUCUCACCACAUUUCACGAUCCAUCUGCUCAGGAGACAGCUGCCCUGACGUAGGCUCGUUGGGAACAAAUGGGACGAGAUGAAAAACGACGACGACAACAGAUCAAUUGACUGUCACUCGCUUGGUGGUGUAGUUCUCGCUGUGCUCUGAGGAGCCCUUGGGAUCUGCAGUCCUUCCAGAUGUGACCUUGGUGAGAGAAGCAGGCCGAGAAAGGACACGCAAGCACGUCUUCAGACCCCGGUCAUGCAUCCGCUUUCCUCUGUUUUGUAUGCUGAAGUUCCACGCACUCUAUUCCGAUUUCGGUUCCCAUAAAUGAGUUUUGCCUGUUCCUCACAACCC